UAUUUUUUAUUUGUGAUGAAAACUUAGAAUCAUCAUAAAUAUUUUUUAAUUAUCGAUGAAAAUUUGGAUUCAUCGUUGAUAUCCUUAUUUGCGAUGGAUAUUUUUUCCGUCGCAAAUAAAUUCGUCGCAAAAACUCUCUUUCCUUGUAGUGGAGGUAGAGGACCACAGAUCUGAUGGAGAAGCUUCAGAUUUUGAGAACCCCUUUCAUAGGGAUAUUUUCACCCAUCAGUGUGAAGAUCGAGGCGAUUCAUUCAAGUGAUCAAUCCUUUGGUAUGAUGCAAACAGAGAUAGUCUAUAAAUAGAGAUAAUUCUCAAUUAGCUGGAUUAGAUUG
rnacentral:lncRNA from 1 species